AGAGUUUGAUCCUGGCUCAGAACGAACGCUGGCGGCGUGGAUAAGACAUGCAAGUCGAACGAGACUUUUCGUUGUAGCAAUACGAUGGAAAGUUUAGUGGCGAACGGGUGCUUAACACGUGGGCAACCUGCCAUGAAGUGGGGGAUAGCUCGCCGAAAGGCGAAUUAAUACCGCAUGUGAUUAGAGAGGACAUCCUUUCGAAAUUAAAGUCGGGGCAACCUGACGCUUCUUGUGGGGCCCGCGGCCUAUCAGCUAGUUGGUGAGGUAACGGCUCACCAAGGCUUUGACGGGUAGCUGGUCUGAGAGGACGACCAGCCACACUGGGACUGAGACACGGCCCAGACACCUACGGGUGGCAGCAGUCGAGAAUUUUUGACAAUGGGGGAAACCCUGAUCGAGCGACGCCGCGUGGAGGAUGAAGGUCUUCGGAUUGUAAACUCCUGUCAUUGGGGAACAAGGUGCAUAUGUUAACUGCGUGUGCAUUGAUAGUACCCGAAGAGGAAGAGACGGCUAACUCUGUGCCAGCCGCCGCGGUAAUUC
rnacentral:rRNA from 1 species